UACGGGAGGCAGCAGGGGGGAAUAUUGCACAAUGGGCGAAAGCCUGAUGCAGCUAUGCCGCGUGUAUGAAGAAGGCCUUAGGGUUGUAAAGUACUUUCAUCGGGGAGGAAAAAACAAAACUAAUAAUUUUAUUUCUUGACGUUACCCGAAAAAGAAGCACCGGCUAACUCCGUGCCAGCAGCCGCGGUAAUACGGAGGGUGCUAGCGUUAAUCAGAAUUACUGGGCGUAAAGAGCACGUAGGUGGUUUUUUAAAGUCAGAUGUGAAAUCCCUGGGCUUAACCUAGGAACUGCAUUUUGAAACUGAAAUACUAGAGUAUCGUAGAGGGAGGUAGAAUUCUAGGUGUAGCGGUGAAAUGCGUAGAUAUCUGGAGGAAUACCUGUGGCGAAAGCGGCCUCCUAAACGAAUACUGACACUGAGGGUGCGAAAGCGUGGGGAGCAAACAGGGAUUAGAUACC
rnacentral:rRNA from 1 species